CUUCGUGGUUCCUCCCUGCCUCCCGCACCCAUAAGGAGCCAGUUCUCUCUCUCAGUCACACGACAACCUCACUCUAGCUCUGUUGCCCGGGUGCUAACACCACCACCACUCAGGUACCUGCUGCUAACACCACCACUCAGGACUCUGGUUGACCAGGAUCUGUUGAAGUUGACUCCCUCACUCACCAGCCACACAACACCAGCUGCUGCUCCACCAAGUUGACUCCCUCACUCACCAGCCACACAACACCAGCUGCUGCUCCACCAAGUUGACUCCCUCACUCACCAGCCACACAACACCAGCUGCUGCUCCACCAA